rnacentral:rRNA from 1 species
UACGGAGGGUGCAAGCGUUAUCCGGAUUCACUGGGUUUAAAGGGUGCGUAGGAGGGCAGGUAAGUCAGUGGUGAAAUCUCCGAGCUUAACUUGGAAACUGCCGUUGAUACUAUCUGUCUUGAAUAUUGUGGAGGUGAGCGGAAUAUGUCAUGUAGCGGUGAAAUGCUUAGAUAUGAUACAGAACACCAAUUGCGAAAGCAGCUUACUAUGCUAUUAUUGACGCUGAGGCACGAAAGCGUGGGGAUCAAACAGG